rnacentral:rRNA from 14 species
AGAGUUUGAUCCUGGCUCAGGAUGAACGCUGGCGGCGUGCCUAAUACAUGCAAGUCGAGCGAACGGACGAGAAGCUUGCUUUUCUGAUGUUAGCGGCGGACGGGUGAGUAACACGUGGAUAACCUACCUAUAAGACUGGGAUAACUUCGGGAAACCGUAGCUAAUACCGGAUAAUAUUUUGAACCGCAUGGUUCAAAAGUGAAAGACGGUCUUGCUGUCACUUAUAGAUGGAUCCGCGCUGCAUUAGCUAGUUGGUAAGGUAACGGCUUACCAAGGCAACGAUGCAUAGCCGACCUGAGAGGGUGAUCGGCCACACUGGAACUGAGACACGGUCCAGACUCCUACGGGAGGCAGCAGUAGGGAAUCUUCCGCAAUGGGCGAAAGCCUGACGGAGCAACGCCGCGUGAGUGAUGAAGGUCUUCGGAUCGUAAAACUCUGUUAUUAGGGAAGAACAUAUGUGUAAGUAACUGUGCACAUCUUGACGGUACCUAAUCAGAAAGCCACGGCUAACUACGUGCCAGCAGCCGCGGUAAUACGUAGGUGGCAAGCGUUAUCCGGAAUUAUUGGGCGUAAAGCGCGCGUAGGCGGUUUUUUAAGUCUGAUGUGAAAGCCCACGGCUCAACCGUGGAGGGUCAUUGGAAACUGGAAAACUUGAGUGCAGAAGAGGAAAGUGGAAUUCCAUGUGUAGCGGUGAAAUGCGCAGAGAUAUGGAGGAACACCAGUGGCGAAGGCGACUUUCUGGUCUGUAACUGACGCUGAUGUGCGAAAGCGUGGGGAUCAAACAGGAUUAGAUACCCUGGUAGUCCACGCCGUAAACGAUGAGUGCUAAGUGUUAGGGGGUUUCCGCCCCUUAGUGCUGCAGCUAACGCAUUAAGCACUCCGCCUGGGGAGUACGACCGCAAGGUUGAAACUCAAAGGAAUUGACGGGGACCCGCACAAGCGGUGGAGCAUGUGGUUUAAUUCGAAGCAACGCGAAGAACCUUACCAAAUCUUGACAUCCUUUGACAACUCUAGAGAUAGAGCCUUCCCCUUCGGGGGACAAAGUGACAGGUGGUGCAUGGUUGUCGUCAGCUCGUGUCGUGAGAUGUUGGGUUAAGUCCCGCAACGAGCGCAACCCUUAAGCUUAGUUGCCAUCAUUAAGUUGGGCACUCUAAGUUGACUGCCGGUGACAAACCGGAGGAAGGUGGGGAUGACGUCAAAUCAUCAUGCCCCUUAUGAUUUGGGCUACACACGUGCUACAAUGGACAAUACAAAGGGCAGCGAAACCGCGAGGUCAAGCAAAUCCCAUAAAGUUGUUCUCAGUUCGGAUUGUAGUCUGCAACUCGACUACAUGAAGCUGGAAUCGCUAGUAAUCGUAGAUCAGCAUGCUACGGUGAAUACGUUCCCGGGUCUUGUACACACCGCCCGUCACACCACGAGAGUUUGUAACACCCGAAGCCGGUGGAGUAACCUUUUAGGAGCUAGCCGUCGAAGGUGGGACAAAUGAUUGGGGUGAAGUCGUAACAAGGUAGCCGUAUCGGAAGGUGCGGCUGGAUCACCU